ACAACUUAAUGUGUUUUUUCUACCACAGGAUUACUGAGAUUUUGUGUGAAGAAAACUGUGGUUACAGGCUGUGUGUUGAUGAUGAAAUUACACUGUGUUGUGGAGAAAAUAUGAAUGUUACAGGGGAGAAGUGAAUACAGUUUGAGACAUACUGUGAUGAAACCAUUGUUACUUUUUCCACAGCGAGUGUUAACUUUAUGACUUUUCACAGCUUCUCUGGAAUCUGAAUGGCCGACACCUGAUAACCAGGA